GACAUGCAAAGCACUUAGGCCUGUGUGUCUGGCACACAAGUGCUCAACAACGACCGAGCAUUAUGGGAAGUGAGGCACCAUCAUUAUUUUUAUUUAAUCCUUGCUGCUCCUGGGCCAGCCUCCCAGCUAAGCUGGUGUCUUCAUCCCCCAGGAGAAUUCCCAACCCUGGCAACUUCAGAUUGAGUGUCCAGCUGCUCACCAGGCUUGAAGGAGGAUCUGAGUCUUGCUCAGCUACACAUUGAACAGCCAGCACACGGACCAGCUGCAGAGCUGAUGACUGGAUGGCUGCCCUGGAUAAUACUUCAUACAGUAGUUUGAAGCACCAGAGAGAAAGAAAUAUGAAGGGCCCAGUCCAUACUAAACGUUUGCUGUCACGGAGGCAAGAGUUGGCACCCGAGGCUUGGAAAUCAAUGGUCGAACCUGGAAAAAUAGCACCAAGCCAUCGGAUCCAGGGAGUGCGCCCAGAGCCAGGAGGCACAGCUCUGGCCAUGGCAGCCGGGAGGGGAGUCCCUGUCAUCUCCCCGCUGCAGCGCAGAGCCCAGCUUUCCUGCCGAGGAGCCUGCCAGGUGCGCAGCCCGUGGCCGCCGCUUGGUGGGUGUGCCUGCGUGGGCACGGGCCAGGGACCCGGCGGGCGGAGCCCCACGCCCAUCCUCCCGCCGGCCCGCCCUUUCUCCCGUGGCUGAUGGCAGGUUUCAAGGGGAGCCCCCUUCCGCCUUGUGUCUGAGGAUUAUCAGUCCCAGGGUCAAGAUUUUUACAGGCGGCAAGAAGAAGGCCUCCCAGGCGGCACCUUACCUGCUCUGUGAUGUUUCCCUACCUGUAAAAUGAGAGUGACCACCUCAGAGAGGCUGUGAGGAUGAAAAGAGAGGUAGCUUGGUGGCAGGAAGUGCCAGGCCAGCUGCCAUGAAGAUGAUGGGCAUGGGGGUGAUGGGGGUUCUUCUGUGUGAUUUUGGAUUUGUUGUUCCCUGCUGACAUGUGAUGAGAGAUGGAGAAGCAGGGCAGAGAGAAAACUGGCCUGGAGUCCAGAGUCCGGAGGUUCCAGCUGCGUGACAUUUACAGUGGAGUCAUCACGAUGCAUCAACUUCCACACACUUAAACUCACGGGUAGGAGAGAAGAGAGUGAGAUGUGGACAAAUCACUACUAUGGAGUUACACUCCCAUCCCACCCUGUGAGCACUCACCUUGAUGGGGACGUGACCUAAUGUGACCUGAUGCAGUCCCCCAGUCAGUCCCAGCAAAGUGUGGGCUCUUGUCGUGCCCCAUUGAUUCUGAUGUUCAAAAUUUUUAUACUGCGGGGCCCUAAAUACAAGCCAACCUUUUCAUCUGGUGGUCAGCGGAAGCCACAGUUAUCUGUAACAACACCAGAGAAAGAAUCUGCCAUAUUCACUGUCAACUGAUGGAUGACCUUGCUUCCUGUUUUACUGGGAAAACAGAAGCCAUCAGAAGGAAACUUCUCUAGAGUCCCACCUCACCCGCCCUCCACUCACCAGCUGGCAUCCGUGCCCAUUUCUCUGCUCCUCCCCCCCUUACAUGGAUGCCUAGUGUGAGCUUUUGAGACCACGCCCUCCACUGGGGCACUGUCCGCUGUCCUCUCUUGCUGUCUCCAGGACGGAUCCUGCCAUUUCUUCCUUCUCUUGUGCAGCUUCAAGUUUCCCCCUCUUCUACUGGUUUAUUCCCAUCAGCACACAAUCAUGCUGCAACUCCCAGUCUUAGAGGUACGCACGCACACACACAUGGAGCCAGACACGUCUGUUUUCCUUUACAGGAAAACUUCUCCAAGAGUUUUCCAAGUUGAAAGUCUUAAUUGUUGUUUUUCCUUUCUCUCUUCAACUCACUCUAGUUGGUCUUUCAACCCCACCACUCCACUGGACUGUGACCAGUGCCACGGUCAGUACUGGUCCUCAGCAUCAGCAUCUGACCAGGUGACUGAGCCAUCCUUGUAUACAUCCUCCCCGUGUCUUCCUGGACCCCACCGUCUCAGUGCCCCUCCCAACCACAGGGCACCUUUGCAGUCUCCUCCCUCAUCUUCCUGAUGUCCACAUGCUGGAGUUCCCUGGAAGUCAGCCCUUGGACCUCUCCUUUUCCACAGCACACUCCCCUGUUGCUCGCCUCUGGUCCUGAGGUUUCAUAUACAUCCUGUAUACUGAUGGCUAUAGAUUUGUUUCUCCAGCCCAGACCUUCCCACCCAACUCCAGAAUCAUACAUCUAUACUCAAAGACCCGACUAGAAACCUGAACUUAAUACAGAAUGCUUAAAUUUUACUCCUAAAUCUGAUCCUUCCUUGGUCUUCCCAUAUCUGCAAAUGGCAAGUCCAUCCUUCACGUUGCUCAGGCCACAGGCUGGGUCACCCUUGACCCCUCUCUCUUAUACUCCGCAGGAACACCCCCAUCCCUACCUUCAGAGGAUAUCCAGAAUCUGGCCCUCACCACCUCCACGGGCUACGACCCACUUCCAAGGCACCAUCAUUUCCUGCCUGGAUGUAUGUAAAAGCUUCCCAGUGGGGCUCCCUGUUUCCUCCCUUGUCCCCGCUCCACAUUCUACUUGCUGCUUAGUAGCUGGGAUCAUCUCUUAAAACUUGAGUCAAAUUAGUUCAGUCCUCUUUCUAAACCCUCACAUGGCUCUCUUCUUACUUGAAGAAAAUCUUAACACCUUUCUGUGGCUGAGAAGGUCCUGCAUGACCCCCUCACCUUGCCUCAGCUUGUUUUCCCUCCCUCGCUGCAACUGCACUGCAGUCCCUGCAGUACACACUUGCUGUCCCCCUGCCUCUGAAGACUGUUCUGGCCCAUUUAUCCAUCCAUAGCAUUCACUUCUGCUCACUCUUAUGGGAGCUUUCACUGGCCAUCCCACAUAAACAAGCACCCCAUCCUCCCUCCCUCCCUCACUUCUGCCACUUUCUGGCACCCUCACUAUCAGAUGCACAUUCCAUUUUCUUGUUGGUUUAUGUGUGUCUUGAAUGUCUCCCUCCCUAGAAUGUCAGCUCCACAAAGGUAGAGACUUUGUUUCAUCCUCCACUGUAUUAUCCAGAACAGUGCCUGCCUCAUAGUGAGUGUUCCAUAAAUACAUAUUAUAUGAAUGAACGUGUUUGAAUAACCAAGAAGCUAUUUUUUGGGAUCCACCGAGACAUCUUCCUAAAGGAUUUUCAGCAUUUGUUCAUUCAACAAACAUUUUAUGGGGUAUUUUCUUUUUGUGCUAACUUUAAAAAUGAACCCCAUGGUAUGAUGAAUUUCAAUGUAUUCUCUGUGUCAUGCCCUUUCAAGACUCAGUCUGUGAGAUGGAGUGACCAUAUAUUCACCAUACAUUUGUCGAGCAUCUAUCGUGUGUUUGAGCCUGACAUUCAGAAAGGAGAAAUCAAAAUAAGAUAAUCUCUGGAGGGAGAGACAGAGAUGAAAAUACAUAAUUUAAAUAUAUAAUUUAAAUCCACAACUGCCCUAACAGUAAAAACAUUGGUGAGGAUGUGGGUGACUGGGGAGUCUCAUGCAUUAUUAGUGGAAUCUCAUGCAUAAAUCGGCACAACCUUUGUGAAAGGCUUGUCCUUUAGCUCUGACUCUCCGGUCUAGGAAUUUACCCUCAGGAGAUUAUCACCUAAAGGCAAAAAGACACAGGGAUGUUCAUUGAUAAUUUUUUUCAUUAUAUUGAAAAAUUGGAAACACCAAUGUCCACCCAUUGGGGGUUGGUUAUGAAAAUUAUGAUAGAUCCAUACAAUGGACACUAGGGACCUUAAACAUGAUAUUAUGGAAGAAUAUUUAGUGAGACUUGGGAAGAUAUUUGCAGUAUCUUAUUAUAAGUGAAAAAAGUUUUGAAAAUUGCAGAGCAGUAUGUGUUGUGAUGUCAUUCUUAUAGACACAUAUCUGUAUGUGUUUAAAUCCAGGAAGAUGUUCAGAAAAAGGGCUCCAACAUGUUUAAAAUGUGGUGGUUUCGAUUGUUGAAUUGAAGUGGUGGAUGUACGGGUGUUGAUUGUGUUUUCCUUUCAACCUUUCUGUAUAUUUGAAAAAAAUCUUACAAUAAGAAGUUGAAAGAAAA